AUGACUAAAGAGGCUGUGGCUCUUGAGUGAUUAGAGGAGGAGAUGGAUGGGGUGUAAGACUGAGGUUACAAAUCACAGAGGUGGAAGAUGAACUAAAUAUGUAACUGGGCUGUUAACUGGAUCCCUGAAGUACUGGCACUGGGUAUGCUCAGGGACACUGGUGGGAGACUGAAAUAAAAUGGAGAAAUGAAAGCACCUUUCUGAGCUGUGGGUGGGCAGCACCUGGUGUUCUUUGCUGUGGGAAUAUUGUGGAGGCAGACACGGUCAGCAGGUCCAGUGAGGAAGGGCAGUAGUCAAAUUCAGGGUCUGCAGGUGCACACACACCUGUCAAACAGGACAAGCAGGGCUGAGCACCCUCUGGCAUCUCUCACACGGUUCUCAUUGAUGGAGGGGCACGAGGAGGGUGGGUUGUAGAUAGUGGCAGCCAUAUCCCACCUCAGUGAGGUUGUUAAUCUGCACCCAUCAGGCAUUUUAUAUAUUCUUAAUUCAUAAUGUAGUAAAGGCAAUGAGGAGAUCUCAAUACCACUAGUCUAUAAAAUGUAGGCAAAAGGACACUUCAUUUAUUGCAUAUUCAGGUGUAAACAAAAAAAAUAGAAAUUGUCUGGAAUACUCCGAAUUCAUGGAAAUCACUGUGAGUGACACAGAGUUAAGUAGGUCAUCCAGCUCAGACAUGAGUCUGUCCACCAAUUAGGGGAACAUCAAGAGGAAUACUUGUCAGGCAAGCCCUGAACACAGGAAGAGAUUAAUUCUGUAUGUAAUUUGUUAAUCACAGUAUGACUUGGGUUGGUUUGCUUGUUUUCUGGCAGUGUUUCUCUUGACCAUGUAGAAGAAGGGAAUUGAUUCACCGUGUAUUUCUGUCACUUUCUUCAAGGGCAAAGACUUCAAAGGGGGAGCAGCCAAAGGUAACUUCCAUAAAUAUGAGUGCUUUUACUUCUGCUUCCUGAACCAUGACAAUUAACUCAGGAAAGGCUGGUGUGUUCAGCUCCUUCAAUACACAGAUUUUGGCUCACAAAAGAAAGCAAGUAUAUUCAUGAACUUCCUGCAUGUAAAUAUUUUCUUAAGUCUGUCUCUCCACUGGUCAUGUCUGCCAACUAUUGCUCUUUCUUGUUUUUGCCUGGCACUGUAGGGAGUAAUUUUUCUUUUGCUUUUAUAUUAGACCAGCUUGAGAACCCAGAGCCGAGCUCCAUGCUACUGAGAGACAAUGAACCAUGACCAGUGAAAUCUCCAGUAGCACACAUGAAGUCCUCAAUCCAAUGAUUGGAAAAUAUUUUGUAAUUACAAAACAGGAGUGAAACCUCCAGGGUGUGACAGUGUAUAUGGCUUUGUUUGAAUACACUAAAUUGUUCAGCUUUUUACCCUGAUAGAAAACCAGGCUUUCAAUAGUCAAAUUGUCAGGAGUUAUAGGGAUUUAUUGCUAUUUUCUUUAUGAUUCUAGAUGUCACAUUUAACGCGGCAAGUUAGAAAUGGCACUUCUAGCCACUGCAUGAAAGAGAGAUAUUUAGGGUGUCAAGAGGAGAGGCUGUUCUGCCUUUCAAGACAUCACCAGCUUCAAGCUCCUGUGCACAGAAUCUGUCUGCAUUGACAAGAAAGGGGACUGUAGCUGCAAAUAUAAACUGUGAGAGCAAGAGCAGAUUGAGCUGCUGACAUGCGAGCACUGGCUCUGCACCUGGGUUUUGGCAAUGGGAGUGGACUGUAACAACUGCUUCAUUAUUACAAAGAAACUGAAGAGAACAGAACAAACCCAAAAGAGGUUCCCUGACAAAUUCCCAGGAUGGCAGGAAGCCAACAUUCCUACUUUGAAAAUUCAUCAAAAAACCUUCAUUUCGGUCUCAGCCCAAAGGUCAUACAAUUUUUCAGCUAUAAACUGAGAAGAGCUUUGGAGAAGAGCAUGGAGACAGUCAUGGAUAAAUUGGGACUACAGCUCUGUGGCUCUACGCUCUGUGUAAAAUCCGUAAGUCAAAAAAAGCUUUGUGCAAUACAUCAGCUUGGCACAAAAGUAGAAGAACAGAUCAAAAUACGUGUGUGCCAGGUAGAAUCUGAGAAAACAUUCAUCUAAGUCCCAUCCACGUGGAUGUAUCGUCUGCAAUGCACUGCCUGAUGCACAAAACGAAACACAGGCAUCGCAAGAAACUCGCUGCAUGAACUUGUAUUAGGCCACUCAAGCAAAGUCAAAAUGUCUCACAAAAUCACAAAUACUGACUUUAUAUGUUUUUUAAAUCAAAUAUUUAUUAUUUAAAGAGCUACAAUUAUGUUACACAAAUUUCACGUUGAAUGUUGACAAGCAAAACUCCUUCCGUCAUUUUCUUUUGUUCUUAUAAUGGUGCUUAAUUUGAGCUUACACCAAACGUGCAGAGAUUUGGUUAUCUGAAAGACAGAAAGUUACUUGUUAAUUCCAUAUUUAUUUGUACAUUGGUCAUGUAAGAUUGUGAAAUAUUACAUUUUCUGAUUUGAAUUAGUUUGAUUUUUUUUUUCCCCUCACUGAACUCAGGAGCUGGAAAGACAGUUGAUAGCUGAGCAUGACACUGAGAGUUUCAAGUCUCCUUACUAAAAGCCCACCCAAAUAAUCAACAGAAAUAGACAAAAUACAAGACAAUAUUAGAGGAAAACACAAUGGAAAAAAUCAAAGUGAAGUAAAGGUUGCGGAGGCAGUACAAACUCCACAGUCUGAAUAUUAUACUGUGAGAGAAAGAAAAUAAAGGAAGUAGGAACCAGACAAGAAAAGCACCACACUCAAAAAGAAAGUGAAAAGGAGUGUGAAAAAAGAAAAGUCCAUUUUUUUAACGUGGGGAGGGAGGCAAGACUAUAUGCAAGGAAAUCCAAAUUGCCAGCGUGGAGACACUGCAUUUUGCUGAACUUUCUGACAUAAUUUGCUAAUCUGAAUUUACAGAUAUAGCUAGAACAAAAUACGAUUGUUUCUGCCUUUUCCUUUUUAGCCUGAUGCUCUUAUUCCUGAGAUUCACCCUUUAUGGGUCCUUGACAAAUGGCUGAAAAACCCAUCAGUGCCGUUCUUCACAAUCAGCCAAGUAGAGGCCACUGAACUGUUAGAGAAAACUACCUCAUGCAGUGACUAUGAAACACCCAAAACACUACAGACACAUAAAAUGCAGUACCUUGACUGAAUCUUCUGCACUUUCCCGUAGUACCCCACAGAAGUCAUUCAGGACACUCCGAAUUUCUGUGGUUUCCAAAUGCUCUUGACUGUCAUUUUUCUCUUCAGAUUUUCACUUUCAGGCUAAUUAACAUUCCAUAUGGCAUUUUCACACAAGUUCCAAGGCUGCUGUUUAGGUUUUGAUUACAUAAUCACAUUGAACGUGGUAGAUACAGUGUGAGUAUCUUCGCAUCCUGAAUACAGCCUUGAAAGAUGGAUCUUAUGGAUGGAUGGAUGCUGAGUCACCAUGUUCCUGGUGAGCAACCUCUGAGCAAGACCUCUACAGACAGCACAGGAGAAGGUAACAGGCAUUCAGACUUGUCACUGGGAUUAUUUGCCUGCCCUGAGGCAGCAUUUGGGGAAGAGGAGACCGUGAUGCUUGUUACUUCAUAAAUGUGACAAAAAGUUCAAUAAUGAUUAUAUCAGCCUGUGCAAUGGUGAUGGAGACCAACAUGUAUUCUGCAAGAGAAUUCAUGAAGAGGUACAGCACUGGGAAAAGCAGUCAAAAUUUCCUAAUUACUGAAAUGCUAAGAGAUUAAUGAGCUCACUGGGGAAGAGAGGCCUUCAGAGAAACCUGCAACAGAUGCUACAACACACAGAGAAAAUUACUGCAUUUAAAUCAAUCCCGCUAAGAAAGUAACAUGGAUAAACUUUACAAAGAGCCACACACUUCCUAUGAAUACUGACAUGCAAAAUAAGGUAACUCAUCCUGGAGAGCAUUCCCUGCAUAAGACAGAUGUUAGGGAUCACUGCACAUGCUCAAAUAUACCAGUUAAUUCAAAGUGAUCAACCAGCUUCCUCCUGAAAUGAAAACAAAUGUAAAAUUGAAAAAGACAUGCAAAACUGGAUUUAGAGCCUUUCUUCUGUGAAGAACCAUGGUGUUCACAAAUCAUUUUCACAUAGUCUUGUGUUCAUUCAAAUAUAUCUCCAGUUGUAUUUCUCAAGAUGGCUAAAACUUGGGAAUUAGCCAAAGCAGGCUGACUCUUUUCCACAGUGCAGCAAGCCAGGCAAUCCUAUAAAAAAAAAUCAGCGUUCUAUCACAGCUGAUUCUUAUAUACGCUAUGCAAGCAAAAUCUCACCUGUCAUGGUGUCUU